rnacentral:rRNA from 1 species
AGAGUUUGAUCCUGGCUCAGGACGAACGCUGGCGGCGUGCCUAACACAUGCAAGUCGUACGGGACGAGAGGGGCAACUCUUUCGUUCAGUGGCAGACGGGUGCGUAACACGUGAGGAACUUAUCCGAUGGCGGGGGAUAGCCGGCCCAACGGCCGGGUAAUACCGCGUAAGCUCGUUUGGGGGCAUCCCUGGACGAGGAAAGCAGCCGCAAGGUUGCGCCGUCGGAGGGUCUCGCGGCCUAUCAGCUAGUUGGCGGGGUCACGGCCCACCAAGGCGACGACGGGUAGCUGGUCUGAGAGGAUGAUCAGCCACAUUGGGACUGAGACACGGCCCAGACUCCUACGGGAGGCAGCAGUGGGGAAUAUUGCGCAAUGGCCGCAAGGCUGACGCAGCGACGCCGCGUGUGGGAUGACGGUCUUCGGAUUGUAAACCUCUGUCAGGGGGAACGAAUACAGGGCCUCGAAUAGGGGACCCUGGGUGACGGUCCUCCCAAAGGAGCCCCGU